AAAUGGAUAAUAAGAGUAAAAAACGCCUGGUUGGCGCUGAGAAGCAUCGGAAAAAAAGCUGAAGUCUCUGGAGGUGGAGGCUGCUAAAUGUGGCAAACUGACGGACCUGUUUGGUGCCGGGUUCACCAGCCCAGCAGCAGCAGGUGCGCCGGGAGACGAGCGAGGAGGACUCGACAAUGAUGAGCGAGUGGAGGCAGACAUGGUUGUUGUGAUAUAUUUGAGGAGUCGUUCUCCCUCUGUUUUAUAUGUGGACAUUUGGGACCACUGUUAGAAUUUGGUUGACCACUUGACAUGUGAGAGCCUGAGGAGUUGUUCCCCCUCUGUCCAUGUUCGAGGACUUGCUCUCUGUCUGCCUCCACUCUCUGCCUUCACUGUACCAAAGUUUGUCUGUUGAGUCUCCUCUAGUCUGGUUGACCACUUGACAUGUGAGAGCCUGAGGAGUUGUUUUCCAGACAAAGGUAGAGCUGGCAGGGGCGUCACCCUGGGCCUGCCCUUUUGGGCUGGGCUUCAGCUGCAGAUCUAAAG